rnacentral:lncRNA from 1 species
GUAAAUGACAAUGAAUUCAUACAUUUGAUAUUAUAAUGACAAUGUAUUAUAGUAUAUUGAAAUUAUGAAUUAUUUACGCGAAUUUCUUUUAUUAACAAUUUUUCCAGACAAUUCACGUCCUCAGUUACCACUGAUAGAUCCAGGACCAGUAGUCGAUAUCCUAAAAAACACCGCAAUCAAACUAAAAUGCUAUGGUGAAACGAAGACUUAUUGGCAGAUUCCGGAAAAUAUUAGAUUUAAAAACAAUCGUUGGCAUUAUCAUUUUUACUCGUAUUCUGAUAUCACUGGCAGCGAGAGUGGAGCCGUGAUU